CAGUUCUUCGGUUCCUGUGAUGAGAAACCCACGUCCCUGAGAAUUUGACCUGCCUGAGGACAGAUAGCAGGAGACCUACUUCCUUCUGAAGAUGGUGGAGUGAGACAGCUGCUGAUCUGCGAGCACACUGAGCCCCUGACAGGCCCCAGGGACUCCCCUCUGGUUUCGAUGAAUGCGGAGGUACAUUCUUUCCAGGGCCUGGACGAGGGUCAGGAGAGAAGUACCAGUUGCAUAGGAAAUGAAAUGCCCAAAUAAGAGAAAUCAUGGAAGCUUUAAAAUACAGAGGGGCCUCGAGAUUGCCUCAUAUGAGCCCGCAUAG